CCGGAAUCGCAAACUGCCAAACCCUUAAGUCUUGAGCUCCCAAGGGGAAUUAGGAACCCUCCUGUGGCGUUCCUCUUCUAAAAGUCUGCUGAACGAAAGUUGAUGUUGCAUUUUCAAGAGCUGAAAUGGAUUACACAUAUAUAUGACCCUCCCUCAACACCCAGAAGGUAUGUGGACAUGCAGAAUUCAAAAGUCUGAGGGUGACUGUGCUCAGGGGGUGAGGGGAUGCUUAGAAACCACCUCUUUGAGGAGGAAGGCAGGACAUUCAAUAAGAGCAGCUGGCGAACAAAGAACUAAACGUUAACGCAACAAAGGUAAGUCGGUCUCCCUGCGACCACAGGCAUCCAACCCAGGAACACCUCGCUCCGGCUGGAAGGCCCAGGUGCAGCUGGAGGGGGACUGAAAGGGUCAGACCACGGGAUUGUUCUCAACUUUGCGCUUUUACACAGCAGUUUGGAAGACAAAGGGGCUUUUCAGGUAGGUUUGGUUUACCGUCCCCCUCCUCCCAGGCCCAAGCUUGGUCCCCAAUGUCCCCAGCAAUGCUUGGGACGCCCCUCACUUCGCUCCUUUUUUGGGGGGCCACUGCCCACCCCUAGGUUGCCUGCUGUCCCUCCUAGAGAGAGGCGGAUGGCCGUGACAUUCCAGGGAGAACAAAGGGAGGGGUGAGGGGGCAAAGACGCCCUUCUAAAGUUUCACCCCGGAAAAACAUCCCACUCCGCCCGCCAGGCACCCUCAGGCUACAGCCUUCGCGAGAGCCCCCUCCCUUCGCCCCACCCCUCGGCAAGGGGGAGGGGCGCUGUGCGGCCGGCCCUCUCUGAUUGGCUGUCGCGUCAAGGUUCCACGCUGCGAUUGUGCCGUGGGCGGCAGUAGGCGCCUGCGGUGCGCAGAGUGGGGAACCGGCGUUGGGAGUUGCUGGAAGUCGGAGGCGGGGGAGCGGUCACUAGCAGUGAGCGCGGGCAGCGGCUGGGCGCAAAGUCGAGAGCAGUCCCUAGUCUAAGCUUUUCCGUAGUCCUCCGGCACCGCCAGUACCACGGACUCCACCCUGCCGCGGCCCCUCGGAGAUGCGGUGCAGCUGCCACUAGACCAGGCUGUAAAGAAGACAUAGCCCUGGCAUAUGCUUCUGGGGAGGCCUCUGGAAGUCUACAAUCAUGGCAGAAGAUGAAGCAGAAUCUUGCACAUCACAGGACAAAAAGCAGGAGCAAAAAACAAAGGAGUAAGUUGUUACACACUUUUAAAUAACCAGAUCUUAUGGGAACUCACUCACUAUCAUGAGGAUAGUACCAAAUGGGAUGGUGCUAAGCCAUUUAUGAGUAAUCUACCCUGAUGGUUAAAUCACCUUUCACCAGGCCCACUUCCAAC
rnacentral:lncRNA from 13 species